AUUGAACGCUGGCGGCAGGCCUAACACAUGCAAGUCGAACGGUAACAGGAAGAAGCUUGCUUCUUUGCUGACGAGUGGCGGACGGGUGAGUAAUGUCUGGGAAACUGCCUGAUGGAGGGGGUUAACUACUGGAAACGGUAGCUAAUACCGCAUAACGUCGCAAGACCAAAGAGGGGGACCUUCGGGCCUCUUGCCAUCGGAUGUGCCCAGAUGGGUUUAGCUAGUAGGUGGGGUAACGGCUCACCUAGGCGACGAUCCCUAGCUGGUCUGAGAGGAUGACCAGCCACACUGGAACUGAGACACGGUCCAGACUCCUACGGGAGGCAGCAGUGGGGAAUAUUGCACAAUGGGCGCAAGCCUGAUGCAGCCAUGCCGCGUGUAUGAAGAAGGCCUUCGGGUUGUAAAGUACUUUCAGCGGGGAGGAAGGGAGUAAAGUUAAUACCUUUACUCAUUGACGUUACCCGCAGAAGAAGCACCGGCUAACUCCGUG
rnacentral:rRNA from 1 species